rnacentral:rRNA from 1 species
UACGAAGGGGGCUAGCGUUGUUCGGAAUCACUGGGCGUAAAGGGCGCGUAGGCGGCUUUGUAAGUCGGGGGUGAAAGCCUGUGGCUCAACCACAGAAUUGCCUUCGAUACUGCAUGGCUUGAGACCGGAAGAGGUUAGUGGAACUGCGAGUGUAGAGGUGAAAUUCGUAGAUAUUCGCAAGAACACCAGUGGCGAAGGCGGCUGACUGGUCCGGAUCUGACGCUGAGGCGCGAAAGCGUGGGGAGCAAACAGGG